GUCCGAGUUGUAAUUUGUAGAGGAUGCUUUUGGUGAGGUGCCGCCCGAGUUCCCUGGAACGGGACGCCACAGAGGGUGAGAGCCCCGUCUGGCUGGCCACCGAGCCUCUGUAAAGCUCCUUCGACGAGUCGAGUAGUUUGGGAAUGCUGCUCAAAAUGGGAGGUAUAUGUCUUCUAAAGCUAAAUAUUGGCCAGAGACCGAUAGCGCACAAGUAGAGUGAUCGAAAGAUGAAAAGCACCUUGAAAAGAGGGUUAAAUAGUACGUGAAAUUGUUGAAAGGGAAGCGCUUGUGACCAGACUUGGGCGCGGCGGAUCAUCCGGGGUUCUCUCCGGUGCACUUCGCCGCGUCUAGGCCAGCAUCAGUUCGUCGCGGGGGAAAAAGGUUUCGGGAACGUGGCUCCUCCGGGAGUGUUAUAGCCCGUUGCAUAAUACCCUGCGGUGGACUGAGGACCGCGCAUCUGCNAGGAUGCUGGCGUAAUGGUCACCANCGACCCGUCUUGAAACACGGACCAAGGAGUCGUCUUCGUAUGCGAGUGUUCGGGUGUCAAACCCCUACGCGUAAUGAAAGUGAACGCAGGUGAGAGCUUCNGCGCAUCAUC
rnacentral:rRNA from 1 species